GACAGAGGUGGCAAGCGUUGUUCGGAAUUACUGGGCGUAAAGGGCGCGUAGGCGGCCUGUUAAGUCGAACGUGAAAUCCCCGGGCUCAACCCGGGAACUGCGUCCGAUACUGGCAGGCUUGAAUCCGGGAGAGGGAUGCGGAAUUCCAGGUGUAGCGGUGAAAUGCGUAGAUAUCUGGAGGAACACCGGUGGCGAAGGCGGCAUCCUGGGCCGGCAUUGACGCUGAGGCGCGAAAGCCAGGGGAGCAAACGGG
rnacentral:rRNA from 1 species